rnacentral:rRNA from 1 species
CUUGACAUCCAGCGAACUUGGCAGAGAUGCCUUGGUGCCUUCGGGAACGCUGAGACAGGUGCUGCAUGGCUGUCGUCAGCUCGUGUUGUGAAAUGUUGGGUUAACGUCCGCAACGAGCGCAACCCUUAUCCUUUGUUGCCAGCGAUUCGGUCGGGAACUCAAAGGAGACUGCCGGUGAUAAACCGGAGGAAGGUGGGGAUGACGUCAAGUCAUCAUGGCCCUUACGAGUAGGGCUACACACGUGCUACAAUGGCGCAUACAAAGAGAAGCGACCUCGCGAGAGCAAGCGGACCUCAUAAAGUGCGUCGUAGUCCGGAUCGGAGUCUGCAACUCGACUCCGUGAAGUCGGAAUCGCUAGUAAUCGUGGAUCAGAAUGCCACGGUGAAUACGUUCCCGGGCCUUGUACACACCGCCCGUCACACCAUGGGAGUGGGUUGCAAAAGAAGUAGGUAGCUUAACCUUCGGGAGGGCGCUUACCACUUUGUGAUUCAUGACUGGGGUGAAGUCGUAACAAGGUAGGCGUAGACGU